AACGAGCGCUGGCGGCAGGCCUAACACAUGCAAGUCGAGCGCCCCGCAAGGGGAGCGGCGGACGGGUGAGUAACGCGUGGGAACGUACCCUUUUCUGCGGAAUAGCCCAGGGAAACUUGGAUUAAUACCGCAUACGCCCUUCGGGGGAAAGUUUUAUCGGAGAAGGAUCGGCCCGCGUUGGGUUAGGUAGUUGGUGGGGUAAUGGCCUACCAAGCCGACGAUCCAUAGCUGGUUUGCGAGGAUGAUCAGCCACACUGGGACUGAGACACGGCCCGGACACCUACGGGAGGCAGCAGUGGGUAAUCUUCGGCAAUGGGCGAAAGCCUGCCCUAGCCAUGCCGCGUGAGCGAUGAAGGCCUUAGGGUUGGAAAGCUCUUUCGCCAGGGAUGAUAAUGACAGUACCUGGUAAAGAAACCCCGGCUAACUCCGUGCCAGCCGCCGCAGUAAGAC
rnacentral:rRNA from 1 species